AUGCCAUGCUAAUAAAUUGCCACAUUCUGUGACUACAGGACCAGAAGAGGUGCAGAUGUGUCUGGCACAGUUGUCCUCAUUUGGAGGCUGUUUCCUCGCCUCUGAAGAAUUUUGAAAAGAAGAUCAUCAAGUUUUGGCACCCUGUUGAAGGAUAAUUUCAAUUUAAUUUAAGAACUCUGGCAUCUCAGUAGGGAGGUAAGAGGAGGUGUAAAAGCAAUGUUGUUCAAUAGUUCCUGUGAGAAAACGAAUGAAAAUGAAAUUUGUCACUGAAACAAUAGGCCAGUUCAGGGAAUCACCCUAAUGAAUAUCUGCCUCAGAUCUUAAAUUAAACUCUGAUGAACAAAUCUACUGGUUCCUGGUUUUAUGAUUUG
rnacentral:lncRNA from 12 species